GACGAACGCUGGCGGCGUGCUUAACACAUGCAAGUCGAACGGAAAGGCCCUGCUUUUGUGGGGUGCUCGAGUGGCGAACGGGUGAGUAACACGUGAGUAACCUGCCCUUGACUUUGGGAUAACUUCAGGAAACUGGGGCUAAUACCGGAUAGGAGCUCCUGCUGCAUGGUGGGGGUUGGAAAGUUUCGGCGGUUGGGGAUGGACUCGCGGCUUAUCAGCUUGUUGGUGGGGUAGUGGCUUACCAAGGCUUUGACGGGUAGCCGGCCUGAGAGGGUGACCGGCCACAUUGGGACUGAGAUACGGCCCAGACUCCUACGGGAGGCAGCAGUGGGGAUUAUUGCACGAUGGGCGGAAGCCGGAUGCAGCAACGCCGCGUGCGGGAUGACGGCCUUCGGGUUGUAAACCGCUUUCGCCUGUGACGAAGCGUGAGUGACGGUAAUGGGUAAAGAAGCACCGGCUAACUACGUG
rnacentral:rRNA from 1 species